rnacentral:rRNA from 1 species
GUAGGUGGCAAGCGUUGUCCGGAUUUAUUGGGUUUAAAGGGUGCGUAGGCGGUUCCAUAAGUCAGUGGUGAAAUACGGCAGCUCAACUGUCGAGGUGCCAUUGAUACUGCGGAACUUGAGUACUGAUGAGGUAGGCGGAAUUGACGGUGUAGCGGUGAAAUGCUUAGAUAUCGUCAAGAACACCGAUAGCGAAGGCAGCUUACCAAGCAGUAACUGACGCUGCGGCACGAAAGUGCGGGGAUCAAACAGGAUUAGAUACCCUGGUAGUCCGCACAGUAAACGAUGAUUACUCGAUGUUGGCGAUACACAGCCAGCGUCUUAGMGAAAGCGAUAAGUAAUCCACCUGGGGAGUACGCCCKYWAGGGUG